rnacentral:tRNA from 1 species
GCCGGGAUAGCUCAUUUGGUAAAGCAGGGGACUGAAAAUCCUCGUGUUGCCAGAUCA